rnacentral:rRNA from 1 species
UUGGAAUGAGUACAAUUAAAUCCCUUAACGAGGAUCAAUUGGAGGGCAAGUCUGGUGCCAGCAGCCGCGGUAAUUCCAGCUCCAAUAGCGUAUAUUAAAGUUGUUGCCGUUAAAAAGCUCGUAGUCGAACUUCGGCGCCUGAUGGCCGGUCCGCCUUCUUGGUGUGUACUUGCUCAUCGGGCGCUUACCUCCUGGUGAACUCUGAUGUCCUUUACUGGGUGUCAGAGCAAACCAGGACGUUUACUUUGAAAAAAUUAGAGUGUUCAAAGCAGGCCUACGCCCGAAUACAUUAGCAUGGAAUAAUAGAAUAGGACGCGCGUUCCCAUUUUGUUGGUUUCUGAGAUCGCCGUAAUGAUUAAUAGGGAUAGUUGGGGGCAUUUGUAUUCCGUCGUCAGAGGUGAAAUUCUUGGAUUGCCGGAAGACAAACUACUGCGAAAGCAUUUGCCAAGGAUGUUUUCAUUGAUCAAGAACGAAGGAAGGGGGAUCGAAAACGAUCAGAUACCGUUGUAGUCUCUUCUGUAAACUAUGCCAAUUGGGGAUUAGCACAGGAUUUU